GAUGAACGCUGGCGGCGUGCCUAAUACAUGCAAGUCGAACGGGCUGACGAGAAGCUUGCUUCUCUUGUAUUAGCAGCGGACAGGUGAGUAACCCGUGGAUAACCUACCUAUCAAACUGGGAUAACUUCGGGAAACCGGAGCUAAUACCGGAUAUAAUUUUGAACCGCAUGGUUCAAACGUAUAUGACGACCUUGAUGUCACUUAUAGAUGUAUCCGCGCUGAAUUAGCUAGUUGGUAAGGUAACGGCUUACGAAGGCAACGAUGCAUAGCGGACCUGAGAGGGUGAUUGGCUACACUGGAACAGAGACACGGUCGAGACUCCUGAGCGGGGCAGCAGUAGGGAAUCCUACGCGAUGGGGGAAAGCCUGACGGAGCAACAUCGCGUGAGUGAUGAUGGUCUUCGGAUGGGAAAACGCUGUAAGUAGGGAAGAAGAAAAGUGUAAGUAUCUGUGCAGAUCUUGACGGUACCUAAUCAGAAAGCCACGGCUAACUACGUG
rnacentral:rRNA from 1 species